CCUACGGGCGGCAGCAGUAGGGAAUAUUGCACAAUGGGCGAAAGCCUGACGCAGCGACGCCGCGUGAGGGAUGAAGGUCUUCGGAUCGUAAACCUCUGUCAGCAGGGAAGAACGGUCACUGUGCUAAUCAGCAGUGAAUUGACGGUACCUGCAAAGGAAGCACCGGCUAACUCCGUGCCAGCAGCCGCGGUAAUACGGAGGGUGCGAGCGUUAAUCGGAAUUACUGGGCGUAAAGCGCUCGUAGGCGGUAUGUCAAGUCAAGUGUGAAAGCCCCGCGCUCAACGUGGGAACUGCCUUUGAAACUGGCGAACUGGAGUGUGGGAGAGGAUAGUGGAAUUCCAGGUGUAGGAGUGAAAUCCGUAGAUAUCUGGAGGAACAUCAGUGGCGAAGGCGACUAUCUGGCACAUAACUGACGCUGAGGAGCGAAAGCGUGGGUAGCAAACAGGAUUAGAUACCCGAGUAGUC
rnacentral:rRNA from 1 species